GUGAGGGAGAGAGAUGGAGAUGGUGCUCCGACCGACGCCAUGGAGGUCACAAGAGACCGCCGACGCCUCCCUGCUGUGGGCCGACGCCACGCAUGGAUGUUGGAGCCGGCGAGGUACACGACGGCUCCACCUGCGCCUCCCACAGCAGCAACUCCUAGCCGAGCUGAUGUAAAUGUUACUGGCCUACGUCGUAUAGAAGAUGAUUUAGUGAUCUCAAAUGAUCACACUAUCAAAUGGUGAAUGUGCACCGAUAAAGCAUGGGAGUUUUUCUUGUGUUACUAGUGUCCGGCCAGAAUUAG